GACGAACGCUGGCGGCGUGCUUAACACAUGCAAGUCGAGCGGUAAGGCCCUUCGGGGUACACGAGCGGCGAACGGGUGAGUAACACGUGAGUAAUCUGCCCAUCACUUCGGGAUAACUCCGGGAAACCGGUGCUAAUACCGAAUAUGACCACUUCAGGCAUCUGAUGGUGGUGGAAAGUUCCGGAGGUGAUGGAUGAGCUCGCGGCCUAUCAGCUUGUUGGUGGGGUAGUGGCCUACCAAGGCUUCGACGGGUAGCCGGCCUGAGAGGGUGACCGGCCACACUGGGACUGAGACACGGCCCAGACUCCUACGGGAGGCAGCAGUGGGGAAUAUUGGACAAUGGGCGAAAGCCUGAUCCAGCAACGCCGCGUGAGGGAUGACGGCCUUCGGGUUGUAAACCUCUUUCAGCAGGGACGAAGCGCAAGUGACGGUACCUUCAGAAGAAGCACCGGCCAACUACGUG
rnacentral:rRNA from 1 species